rnacentral:rRNA from 1 species
GAUGAACGCUGGCUACAGGCUUAACACAUGCAAGUCGAGGGGAAACGCCGGGGAAGCUUGCUUCCCCGGGCGUCGACCGGCGCACGGGUGAGUAACGCGUAUCCAACCUGCCUCUGACUGAGGGAUAACCCGUCGAAAGUCGGCCUAAUACCUCAUGGCAUCGUCUGCGGGCAUCCAACGACGAUUAAAGAUUUCAUCGGUCAGGGAUGGGGAUGCGUCUGAUUAGCUUGUUGGCGGGGUAACGGCCCACCAAGGCUACGAUCAGUAGGGGUUCUGAGAGGAAGGUCCCCCACAUUGGAACUGAGACACGGUCCAAACUCCUACGGGAGGCAGCAGUGAGGAAGAUUGGGCAAUGGGCGGGAGCCUGAACCAGCCAAGUAGCGUGCAGGAUGACGGCCCUAUGGGUUGUAAACUGCUUUUAUGCGGGGAUAAAGUGAGGGACGUGUCCUUCAUUGCAGGUACCGAAUGAAUAAGGACCGGCUAAUUCCGUG